rnacentral:rRNA from 1 species
UACAGAGGCCACGAGCGUUAGGCGGAAUCACUGGGCUUAAAGCGUGUGUAGGUGGAUGACUAAGUACCUUGUGAAAUCCCACGGCUCAACCGUGGAACUGCUUGGUAUACUGGGUUGUCUUGAGGCACUCAGGGGCGAGCGGAACAGAUGGUGGAGCGGUGAAAUGCGUAGAUAUCAUCUGGAACGCCAAUGGUGAAGACAGCUCGCUGGGGGGUGUACUGACACUGAGACACGAAAAGCCAAGGG